GUUGCCAUAGAUAUGUCAGAACCUUGACAGCCAUUGUUAGGCCAUUGCCUUACCCCUCAUAAGCAGGCAACUGAGCUGUAUUAAUCUGGCAAGAAAGCUAUGAAGCUAAAUACACCUUCCUAUUACUCUACACAUCUUAUGUCUUUCAUACAAAAAGAACCAACUUGCAAUCAGAUAAAUAAUUAACCACCUCAAGGCAUCAGCGCAUACCCUGUCCCCAUCCAGGAUUGAAUGAAGAUAUUCCUAACAGACAUGAACUAUGACUGAAGAAAUAGGCCACACCUGAUGUUAUCAUGCCCAUGAACCAAGCUGAAUCAUGUUCCGGCUAUUGACAUCCUGCUGGUCUCAGCUAAAGACAGCUGAAGAGACACAAAGGAAUGUGACCAUCAUUAUCAUUGGAUUAGACAACUCAGGCAAAACCGUUCUUGUGGAGGCUUUCCAAAGACUACUUCCAAGUAGGAUGAACAAUUGUAUGAAAUCUGAAUUGACUACACUCCUACUGCAUGAGUAUGAAGUUUCCAUCUAUGACUUGAGUGGAGACAUGAAGGGCCAAGAAACCUGGCCGAACUACUAUGCACAGGCACACGGACUUGUUUUUGUCCUGGAUUCCAGUGACUUGGGACGCAUGCAGGAAGUGAAGAUCAUCUUAACGCGUCUGCUCUCUGAUAAAAGAGUGGCAGGGAUAUCUAUCCUACUCAUGGCAAACAAACAGGACAAGAAGGAUGCCCUCCUACCCUGUGAUAUUAUUGAAUAUCUAUUCCUAGAAAGGCUAGUGAAUGAUAACAAAUCCCUGUGUCGAGUGGAACCCUGUUCAGUCAUCAAAAACCUCCAAAGAGGGAACCAUCAGCCCAUAAUUGAAGGGCUGCACUGGCUAUUAGCUGCCAUUGGGGAUAAAUAUGAAGAGCUGUGUACUCGCCGACAGCCACUCCCCUCAAGCAUCCCAACCUCCAAGGGCACCAGAAGCUCUGGGGAAAGACCCUCAUCAGACAGCCACACUACCAGGAUGGGAAUGUCAAAAGAAAAAAGACAGCAUCUAGGACAAUGCUCGAUGGAAGCUAGGCCCCUAAAGCCAAUCCUACAGGUCCUCAGAGCAAACACCUCUCACCCUCCAUGUCCUCUGAGGAUCCCAGACAAUUAGGAAUGGACUUGAUAUUGACAUGCUCCUCUACUGUAUGGAUCUGGGCUAGAUGUCAGCAUUGCCACCCCACUUAGUCUCCUUUGAGAAGAAACAAUGGGAAACAUAAUGUGGAAAUACAUACAAUGACAGAAUCAAAUCAGCUGAUGGAAAAUUUUUAAGUCUGGGACAUAAUUAUAUUCCAUUUCAAUUGUCCUUUUGGACUUGAAUUAAUUGGAAAUUCAGAGCUGGAAGGAGGACCCAAACACCACCAUAAGGAAACAGAGAUCAUCCUAUCCCAGGAUACAGGAUCACUGCUAAAACCAGGAGAGUCUCAGGCAAUCCAGGAUGGUUGGUGACACUACAACCAGCCAGAUUCCUAAUGUGGGUCUCUAAAAGGUAGGGCCAUUAAAAAAAAUGGAGAGACUGUUCUAGAUUCAAAGAAACACCACAUCCAAAUGCAACAUAUGAACUGGCCAUAAAAGACACUUAGGAGACAGCUGGGGAAAUGUGAAUACAGAACACUGCUACUCAGCCAUCCAAUAGAUGUAAAUGAACUAUGUCACUAAGCACAUUGUUUUAUUCAGCUGACAUUGUUCUGUGACAAAACUUUCUCAGUGAAGUAUGUUGUGCACUGAUCCACUGUGGCGCAAGUUCCUUAUCUCCCUGUAAACCAUCAAGCAGUCUGCAAAACAUACUUCAGGAAGCACUGGACUAGAUAUUAAAAAAUAUUAGUGAAGAUCAGUGAGGAGCUGUUAAUUGCUUUUAGCAGUACUUAUGGUAUUAUGUAUCAUACACUUAUGUGGAAAAACAUCUUUAUGCUUAGAAGAUGUAUGUUGAGGUAUUUAAAGUGAAGUGUCAUGAUGUCUACAACUUACUUUCAAAUAGUUUAUCAAAGAACAAAUAUACACAGAGAUAAAGCAAAUAUGGCAAAAUGUUAACUUUGUUGAAUCUUGGUAAAUAUACUGGUGUUCAUUGUACUAUUCUUUCAAAUUUCUUGGGGCGCCUGGGUGGCGCAGUCGGUUAAGCGUCCGACUUCAGCCAGGUCACGAUCUCGCGGUCCGUGAGUUCGAGCCCCGC